ACAAAGCAUCAGCAAUGAAUGUCUUGGCUCAGUUAAUGAUGAAGGGUGCAGCAAGAUGUGGUAGACAGUGUGAGAUGCAGAAUUCCGUGAACUAUUGAGAGCUGAACGCUUGGUACACCUUUGGGACACUCCCAAAGGUGUGGUCAAUUUGAUGCA
rnacentral:rRNA from 1 species